AGUUCAUAUCGACGGCGGUGUUUGGCACCUCGAUGUCGGCUCAUCACAUCCUGGGGCUGAAGUAGGUCCCAAGGGUAUGGCUGUUCGCCAUUUAAAGUGGUACGCGAGCUGGGUUUAGAACGUCGUGAGACAGUUCGGUCCCUAUCUGCCGUGGGCGCUGGAGAACUGAGGGGGGCUGCUCCUAGUACGAGAGGACCGGAGUGGACGCAUCACUGGUGUUCGGGUUGUCAUGCCAAUGGCACUGCCCGGUAGCUAAAUGCGGAAGAGAUAAGUGCUGAAAGCAUCUAAGCACGAAACUUGCCCCGAGAUGAGUUCUCCCUGAGACUUAGAGUCUCCUGAAGGAACGUUGAAGACGACGACGUUGAUAGGCCGGGUGUGUAAGCGCAGCGAUGCGUUGAGCUAACCGGUACUAAUGAACCGUGAGGCUUAACCUUAC
rnacentral:rRNA from 2 species